rnacentral:lncRNA from 1 species
AGAUAUUUCAGAUUUUUGGAUAUUUUUUUUUUUUUUUUUUUUUUUUUUUAACUGGAUUUUUGGAUAUUUCGGUAUAGGUAUAGAACUCAUUCGAGUAUUCUUAUACUUCGGAUCGGAUUCAGAUAUUUAUGUUCGGGAUCAGAUAGUUUAGAUCGGAUUCUGAUAUUUUAAUUUUUAAGAAAUUUUUUUUAAUCUUUCUGUUAGAGUUGCAUUAGAAAACAGCGUCUCUUCACUUCCACAAAUAAUUUAUCUUCAGCAUAUAUCGCAUAUUUAUGAUUAUGUAAUCAAUUGUAUCUUAUU